ensembl:lncRNA
UAGGGGCCGGAGGUGGGACCCUUUCUCAACUCCGGUUUCACCGAGACUCUGCCAAGCUCUCCCGCUGCUGCUGGGAACUGAGAGGUGAGCGCUGCUAGAGCAGCCGAAGGAUGGUGAGAGGUAUGCAGGCUCUGAAUAGCUGGAAGAGACGUCGGUUUGCGUAAGACGGUCCCAGGCAUCCACAAACCCGUGCUGCUCUGAAAGGCUUGGCCAAGCUGCUGAAGAAUUGACAGAUUGUCACAGCCUAACCUCUGCUCUGCCACUGAAAUUUCCCUUGAAAAUUUACUUGGGGUCCCUUGCCCCUGGAAGGAGCCAGUGUAAAUG